CCUACGGGUGGCAGCAGUGAGGAAUAUUGGUCAAUGGGCGCGAGCCUGAACCAGCCAAGUCGCGUGAGGGAAGACGGUCCUAUGGAUUGUAAACCUCUUUUGUCGGGGAGCAAAAGACGCCACGCGUGGCGUUCCGAGAGUACCCGAAGAAAAAGCAUCGGCUAACUCCGUGCCAGCAGCCGCGGUAAUACGGAGGAUGCGAGCGUUAUCCGGAUUUAUUGGGUUUAAAGGGUGCGUAGGCGGCCUUUUAAGUCAGCGGUGAAAGUCUGUGGCUCAACCAUAGAAUUGCCGUUGAAACUGGGGGGCUUGAGUAUGUUUGAGGCAGGCGGAAUGCGUGGUGUAGCGGUGAAAUGCUUAGAUAUCACGCAGAACCCCGAUUGCGAAGGCAGCCUGCCAAGCCAUGACUGACGCUGAUGCACGAAAGCGUGGGGAUCAAACAGGAUUAGAUACCCUAGUAGUC
rnacentral:rRNA from 1 species